rnacentral:lncRNA from 12 species
GAAAUAUUAUUAGUAACUGCACUUAUUAAUGCAAAACAAUAGUAAUUUAAUGAUUAACUGACUAAUUUGCUGUAGAACUCAGUGGUGCUGGUGCUUCUGCUCUCAAAUGUUAGUCUGGAGCCCAGCUUAAGAGAAUAAAGUUUGAUUACUUGUAUUUACCAUCAUUUGAGUUAGCAACAACUCAUACUUUUAUUGCUUGUUUUUUUUCUGCUAAUAACUUACUUGUGUAUUCUGAUGAUUGACAACAAAGACUUAAUUGACGAUACACGAGGUUCAACUUGAGCACGUGACGUAAAAUGAGGGGUGGGAUAAUGAUGAUGACUAAACAAUGUUUAAACGUCUGAUUGGUUUCCAAGCGGGAGUGGGCGGAGCCUAAAGCAGCAAAGGACUGAAAAUCAGGGCAUUUUACAUUUUUAUUUAUUGAUUCAUUUUUUAUUAUUAUUAUUGUUGUUGUUGUUGUUGUUGUUGUUAAUUACAAAGGGACAAAAAUGAGUCACAAGCCAAAAAUCAAAAGCAAAGGGCUGAAUAAAUAAAGCAGACAUAUAUAAUAACUAGCAUAAAUUAUUAAUAUUGAAUUAAUUAUAGCUUCAACAAGCAUUUUUCUUUGCCAUUCAGUAAUUUUCAGUAAUGUUCAACACUAUUUAGGGCAGAUGGGGUGAUAGUGUGCACUGGUGUGAUGAGUGGGAUGUUUAGUGCACUAGGUGCAGUAAUGAUUGUAUAAAGUCAUUUGUUAAGGAGUGUGUGAUGAAUGCUCCUCGUGGAAUAAAGACGCCAGCAGCAGUAAUAACUCAUUAUAUCGGUUUCUUGUCUGGUUAUUGAAUAACACAACUGGGACGCAGGGUUUGAUUCUCGAGCUUAUUCUUGUUACAGAAGGCCGCUGUUGUCACCAGAAAAACUUUUACCUGCAGCGCAAGCGCCAAACCGGAAGCAGAAACACGGAAGUGUGAAACAGGCUAAUCGCUCAGGUGUGUUUAACAGCGAAAUCGAAAGUGUUUCAAAGUCGUCUGGAUUCUGUUCUUUGUGCACAAGACCUGCUGCAGCAGAAGGAGGUGAAUGGAGCAGAUUGAGAGGAGAAUAUGAAGAAACAGCAGGUGGCGCUAGUGCACUGUUUUAGUUUGUGAUCUGCUGUUAGAAGGAAGAAGAAGGAGAAAGCAGGUGUGUUUGUGCUUCACAUUCCUGUCCAGUUGGUGGCGCUGCUGCACGUGAUCUGUUGUUAACU